UGCAAGUCGAACGAAGUUAGGAAGCUUGCUUCUGAUACUUAGUGGCGGACGGGUGAGUAAUGCUUAGGAAUCUGCCUAGUAGUGGGGGAUAACUUGGGGAAACCCAAGCUAAUACCGCAUACGACCUACGGGUGAAAGGGGGCUUUUAGCUCUCGCUAUUAGAUGAGCCUAAGUCGGAUUAGCUGGUUGGUGGGGUAAAGGCCUACCAAGGCGACGAUCUGUAGCUGGUCUGAGAGGAUGAUCAGCCACACUGGGACUGAGACACGGCCCAGACUCCUACGGGAGGCAGCAGUGGGGAAUAUUGGACAAUGGGCGAAAGCCUGAUCCAGCCAUGCCGCGUGUGUGAAGAAGGCCUUUUGGUUGUAAAGCACUUUAAGUGGGGAGGAAAAGCUUAUGGUUAAUACCCAUAAGCCCUGACGUUACCCACAGAAUAAGCACCGGCUAACUCUGUGCCAGCAGCCGCGGUAAUACAGAGGGUGCAAGCGUUAAUCGGAAUUACUGGGCGUAAAGCGCGCGUAGGU
rnacentral:rRNA from 1 species